GUAGGGAAUAUUGGGCAAUGGUCGGAAGACUGACCCAGCCAUGCCGCGUGCAGGAAGACGGCCCUCUGGGUUGUAAACUGCUUUUAUCUGGGAAGAAAAAGGCCAUGCGUGGCAAAUUGCCGGUACCAGAUGAAUAAGCACCGGCUAACUCCGUGCCAGCAGCCGCGGUAAUACGGAGGGUGCGAGCGUUGUCCGGAUUUAUUGGGUUUAAAGGGUGCGUAGGCGGCUGAUUAAGUCAGCGGUGAAAGACUUCGGCUUAACCGGAGCAGUGCCGUUGAUACUGGUUGGCUUGAGUGUCGGAGGGGUACAUGGAAUUGAUGGUGUAGCGGUGAAAUGCAUAGAUACCAUCAGGAACACCGAUAGCGAAGGCAUUGUACUGGCCGACAACUGACGCUGAUGCACGAAAGUGUGGGGAUCGAACAGGAUUAGAUACCCUGGUAGUCC
rnacentral:rRNA from 1 species